rnacentral:rRNA from 1 species
GACGGAAGGUGCAAGCGUUGCUCGGAAUUACUGGGCGUAAAGCGUGCGUAGGCGGUUCGUUAAGUCUGUCGUGAAAGCCCUGGGCUCAACCUGGGAAUUGCGAUGGAUACUGGCGAGCUAGAGUACGGUAGAGGAUGGUGGAAUUCCCGGUGUAGCGGUGAAAUGCGUAGAGAUCGGGAGGAACACCCGUGGCGAAGGCGGCCAUCUGGACCAGUACUGACGCUGAGGCACGAAAGCGUGGGGAGCAAACAGG